rnacentral:lncRNA from 1 species
AAUAACCUUUUCUCCUUCAUUAAUCAGUGUUGCAUCCAGAUCCUUCUGUAUGGGUCGGAUGAAGCAGGUGGCUUGUCCCAAAUAACAAUUUGAGAGGUACUCCACAGUCUACCCAUGCAGUUCAGGAUUUAUAAGCUGGAGUGUUGAUCUUGAGGUGGAUGAUGUCCGCAGAAGUUCGAUUCCGUCACAUCCCUUCAGUUUAAGAAAAUUUAUCCUCUAGCUGUUGGAGGAAAUCAGGAGCAUCGGAAGUUUUAACUAAGGUCAAUUACCUUUCUCAAAGACCAGCCUCAUAUAAAGUCCUUUUCUCAUCUUUGCUGGGAACGUUUCCUAAAAGUAAUGUAAAGUAUAUUAUUUUCACUAAUGCAAAAUAUUAGAUAAAUGUGUUUGGUGGUAAUUGAUGCUACAUGUAUGUUGUAAAUUCUAUGGAUGGUGGAUGAGGAAACACGAGCUAUUCGCUGUUCAUACCAUGUCAUGGAACUGCUCUGUGUUUUGGUACAGUCAUAAAUGUAGGUUUUAUCAAUGUCUGAAAUUGUCAUACGGUCACUGAUCCCUUUACAUUUUGAAUACAAGUCAUCUAUUGUCAAGUUGUGGUUGUCUGAGGAAUACAAACUGUUCAAUGGUAAAGGCAUUUUGGCAAUAGUUGGAGCUGGUCGUGUCCGAAAGAAUUUGUCGGAAACACCAUCAAAGGUAGACAAGGCGACUGGCCUGGUUUAACAGGAAUAGCGUGCACUUAAAAGUUCUUGCUGCUGGUCAAUUGAGGAUGCUGCAAACUUCUUUACUUUUCUUCUUUUAGUUUCUUCACUCUGGCUGCUUUAUAGCAAUUUAUUUUACUUAUUGUUGCCGGGACUAUACCUUUUUGACAAAGUCGGCAUUCCAGCUCUAUUGUUC